rnacentral:rRNA from 1 species
GAUGAACGCUGGCGGCGUGCCUAAUACAUGCAAGUCGAGCGAACGGACGAGAAGCUUGCUUCUCUGAUGUUAGCGGCGGACGGGUGAGUAACACGUGGAUAACCUACCUAUAAGACUGGGAUAACUUCGGGAAACCGGAGCUAAUACCGGAUAAUAUUUUGAACCGCAUGGUUCAAAAGUGAAAGACGGUCUUGCUGUCACUUAUAGAUGGAUCCGCGCUGCAUUAGCUAGUUGGUAAGGUAACGGCUUACCAAGGCAACGAUGCAUAGCCGACCUGAGAGGGUGAUCGGCCACACUGGAACUGAGACACGGUCCAGACUCCUACGGGAGGCAGCAGUAGGGAAUCUUCCGCAAUGGGCGAAAGCCUGACGGAGCAACGCCGCGUGAGUGAUGAAGGUCUUCGGAUCGUAAAACUCUGUUAUUAGGGAAGAACAUAUGUGUAAGUAACUGUGCACAUCUUGACGGUACCUAAUCAGAAAGCCACGGCUAACUACGUGCCAGCAGCCGCGGUAAUACGUAGGCGGCAAGCGUUAUCCGGAAUUAUUGGGCGUAAAGCGCGCGUAGGCGGUUUUUUAAGUCUGAUGUGAAAGCCCACGGCUCAACCGUGGAGGGUCAUUGGAAACUGGAAAACUUGAGUGCAGAAGAGGAAAGUGGAAUUCCAUGUGUAGCGGUGAAAUGCGCAGAGAUAUGGAGGAACACCAGUGGCGAAGGCGACUUUCUGGUCUGUAACUGACGCUGAUGUGCGAAAGCGUGGGGAUCAAACAGGAUUAGAUACCCUGGUAGUCCACGCCGUAAACGAUGAGUGCUAAGUGUUAGGGGGUUUCCGCCCCUUAGUGCUGCAGCUAACGCAUUAAGCACUCCGCCUGGGGAGUACGACCGCAAGGUUGAAACUCAAAGGAAUUGACGGGGACCCGCACAAGCGGUGGAGCAUGUGGUUUAAUUCGAAGCAACGCGAAGAACCUUACCAAAUCUUGACAUCCUUUGACAACUCUAGAGAUAGAGCCUUCCCCUUCGGGGGACAAAGUGACAGGUGGUGCAUGGUUGUCGUCAGCUCGUGUCGUGAGAUGUUGGGUUAAGUCCCGCAACGAGCGCAACCCUUAAGCUUAGUUGCCAUCAUUAAGUUGGGCACUCUAAGUUGACUGCCGGUGACAAACCGGAGGAAGGUGGGGAUGACGUCAAAUCAUCAUGCCCCUUAUGAUUUGGGCUACACACGUGCUACAAUGGACAAUACAAAGGGCAGCGAAACCGCGAGGUCGAGCAAAUCCCAUAAAGUUGUUCUCAGUUCGGAUUGUAGUCUGCAACUCGACUACAUGAAGCUGGAAUCGCUAGUAAUCGUAGAUCAGCAUGCUACGGUGAAUACGUUCCCGGGUCU